rnacentral:rRNA from 1 species
GAUAUGACACAGAACACCGAUCGCGAAGGCAGCUCACUAAAGUGAAACUGACGCUCAGGCACGAAAGCGUGGGGAUCAAACAGGAUUAGAUACCCUGGUAGUCCACGCUGUAAACGAUGAUUACUCGAUGUUGGCGAUAUACUGUCAGCGUCUAAGCGAAAGCAUUAAGUAAUCCACCUGGGGAGUACGGCCGCAAGGUUGAAACUCAAAGGAAUUGACGGGGGCCCGCACAAGCGGAGGAGCAUGUGGUUUAAUUCGAUGAUACGCGAGGAACCUUACCUGGGCUAGAACGUAGGACGACCGUCCGGGAAACCGGAUCUCUCUUCGGAGCGGCCUACGAGGUGCUGCAUGGUGUCGUCAGCUCGUGCCGUGAGGUGUCGGGUUAAGUCCCAUAACGAGCGCAACCCCUAUCUUUAGUUGCCAUCAGGUCAUGCUGGGGACUCUAAAGAAACUGCCUACGCAAGUAGUGAGGAAGGUGGGGAUGACGUCAAAUCAGCACGGCCCUUACGUCCAGGGCUACACACGUGCUACAAUGGCCGGUACAAUGGGUUGCUACCUGGUGACAGGAUGCUAAUCUCAAAAACCGGUCUCAGUUCGGAUCGAAGUCUGCAACUCGACUUCGUGAAGUUGGAUUCGCUAGUAAUCGGAUAUCAGCAAUGAUCCGGUGAAUACGUUCCCGGGCCUUGUACACACCGCCCGUCAAGCCAUGGGAGUUGGGGGUACCUGAAGUCGAUAACCGCAAGGAGUCGCCUAGGGUAAAACCAAUGACUGGGGCUAAGUCGUAACAAGGUACCCG